CAGGCCUAACACAUGCAAGUCGAGCGGAUGACGGGAGCUUGCUCCUUGAUUCAGCGGCGGACGGGUGAGUAAUGCCUAGGAAUCUGCCUGGUAGUGGGGGACAACGUUUCGAAAGGAACGCUAAUACCGCAUACGUCCUACGGGAGAAAGCAGGGGACCUUCGGGCCUUGCGCUAUCAGAUGAGCCUAGGUCGGAUUAGCUAGUUGGUGAGGUAAUGGCUCACCAAGGCGACGAUCCGUAACUGGUCUGAGAGGAUGAUCAGUCACACUGGAACUGAGACACGGUCCAGACUCCUACGGGAGGCAGCAGUGGGGAAUAUUGGACAAUGGGCGAAAGCCUGAUCCAGCCAUGCCGCGUGUGUGAAGAAGGUCUUCGGAUUGUAAAGCACUUUAAGUUGGGAGGAAGGGCAGUAAGUUAAUACCUUGCUGUUUUGACGUUACCGACAGAAUAAGCACCGGCUAACUCUGUGCCAGCAGCCGCGGUAAU
rnacentral:rRNA from 1 species